rnacentral:sRNA from 1 species
AAAAAAAAACAAUAGAAAAAUUCCAUUGUCCUUCCUCAUUCAUCGGAGAGUUCUCUUUGGGCUUUCCGAAAAGGUAUCACAUGCCAAGUUUGGCCUCACGGUCUAAAACUUAUAGAAUCAUACAUUCUUAACAAAAAAA